rnacentral:rRNA from 1 species
UACAGAGGGUGCAAACGUUGUUCGGAAUUACUGGGCGUAAAGGGCGCGUAGGCGGUCUUGUCAGUCCCUUGUGAAAUCCCCCGGCCCAACUGGGGAACUGCACGGGAAACAGCAGGGCUUGAGUUCGGGAGAGGGAAGCGGAAUUCCGGGUGUAGCGGUGAAAUGCGUAGAUAUCCGGAGGAACACCGGUGGCGAAGGCGGCUUCCUGGACCGAUACUGACGCUGAGGCGCGAAAGCUAGGGGAGCAAACAGG